rfam:Rhabditophanes sp. KR3021 genome assembly, scaffold: RSKR_scaffold0000001
GGCUCAAUGGUCUAGUUGGUUAUGAUUCUCGCUUUGGGUGCGAGAGGCCCCGGUUUCGACUGCCGGUUGAGCCC